AUGAUGAGGCCACCACUCACACGGCACAUCGCUCCACCACUCACAGGCAACAUGCUCCCACCAACUCCACACGAACAACAUGCCCCACAUUCACACGCAACAUGCCCCUACCACUCACAGCAACAUCACUCCACCACUCACAGGUCAACAUGCCCUUACCACUCACAGGCAACAUACUCCCACCACUCACAGGCAACAUGCCCCUACCACUCACAGGCAACAUGCUCCCACCACUCACAGGCAACAUGCUCCCACCACUCACAGGCAACAUGCUCCCACCACUCACAGGCAACAUGUUCCUACCACUCACAGGCAACAUGUUCCUACCACUCAAGGCAACAUGCUCCCACCACCAAGGCAACAUGUUCAUACACUCACAGGCAACAUGCUCCUACCACUCACAGGCAAACAUUGCUCCUACCACUCAAGCAGGCAACAUGUCACUCACCACCGCACAUUUCUCACACUCCAAGCAGCCCUACACGCAACAUGCACUCCAGCACCUGCUCACACCACAGCCAUGUCCCACCAUCCACAGGCAACCAUCUGCCUCCACCCGUCACAGGCAACAUGCUCCCACCACUCACAAGCAACAUGCUCCCACCAUCACAGGCAACAUGCUCCCACCAUAACAGGCAACAUGCUCCCACCACUCACAGGCAACAUGCUCCCACCAUAACAGGCAACAUGCUCAUGCUCAACAUGCUCCCACAUAUCUUUGAAAUAAGCAGGUGGCAAUAGCCGAAGUGCAUGUUUGCAAAGUAGGCUAUUGCUACCUGUUUACUUGGCCUACUUUGCAAUUAAGUACUUAAGGCAUAUAUUUGUUUGCACAUUUUUUUGUUACAUGUCACAAACCUCUUCCGCAAAAUUGUGUGCUGUUUACAUUAGGCCAUGAGCCAGACCCCCACAUUUGGGCUGUCGGGCUCACCAAUGUCUCAUAAUGAUUUUCUUCAAGGUCUAUGACCCUAGAGUUGGAAAUGUGUGAUAACAGUGCAGCAAUGACAGCUUUCUCUGUGUUAUCACUCAAUUCUUUCAUCCCUCCAUCACAUUUAUUUUCCCAUAGGGAUUUUACCCCAUGACAAUGUCAGUAUUCAACAUGUUAUUGCUCACAUAUACCCUUUAAUCAUAUAUCAUUGGAAAGCUUAGAUUCACAACUAUCCAUCAGGCACCUUUCGGAAUGUUCAGGUCAACAGAAGUUUGAACGUUGACCUCUAGGUUACAUAUCAGAAUGACCUGUAUAAAUUGCUUUGAAAAAGGAAACCCUGAUUCAUUUGUAACUAUUUGUGCCAUUGACAUUAGAAUGCUGGAAGCUUAGCCAUAGAAUUCCAUCUAGUGGUGCAGCUUUGUUUUGGAAACGGAACUUUGAUGAUACAGGCAGCACAUUACAGACACACACAGCUAGAACAGGGUUUAAAAAAAGAUUUGUAGCUAGAGGAGCAUCACAAGAUCCAAGCAUUAACCCCACAACCACCAACCAACUUAAUGGACCAAAUCCACAUGACCAUACCUGUAUGAAAUAUAAUUGUAGUAUGCCCAAUAAUAUCUUAACAUGUUCAUAGUGAUGUAGAAUACACAACCAAACAAGACAGGUGUGCCGAGUAUAUAAAUAUGUUAAAUAAUUCACAGAAUUGUGUUAAGAAUGUGCCACAAAAACUGUCUGAAUCAAUGAUUUUUGAAUAUGUUAUGAUCAUUAAUUGGAGAUAAUUUUGAUAUGUACUCUAGAGGUCAAAUGUCAAAGUUCUGUUGACCUGAGCAUUCCAAAAAUGAUAUAUGAUUAAAGGGUAUAUGUGAGUGUUAUGGAAUAGGUUAGGUGGGUCAGGUGUUAGGAGAAUGAUUAGACACUACCACUACCACUUCUAUACUCCAUCCCCUGGGGGCAGCUAAUCAACUAAUGAUAAUAAUAAUUUGAUGGGCAGCAACCGGUUAGGAUGAUGUGCUCUGCCAGGAAGCCUUGAUAAUUACUCAGGUGUGGGCAAUCAGGAUGAUUAUCAGUCCGGGAGAGAUAGGAGGCCAGAAGCUUCUCAGACAGCCUUUGCUUGUUUCCUUGUGUUAGUUAAGCCUCUUUAGUUGGUCAUGCCUUAGUUUCGUUUUUUGCAUGUAUUUAUUUUGUCACCAUUAACAUAAAAAUAAUCUGCUUGGACUGGCAAACCAAGAGGUCAAGACGGAGCUGACCCAGAACUCUGAAUGUUUGCUGUCUCUUGGGUACAGAUUCAUAUGUUAAAUCAGGUUAACUAGGCCUAAGACCCCUAGACUUAGCGAGUGCAACAAAAUCAGUAGGCUAGUUAUUUGUUUUAUAACAUGAGCAUUGUCAUGGGGUAAAAUGAAUGUGAUGGAAGGAUGAAAGAAAGAGUGAUAACACAGAGAAAUCUGUCAUUGCUGCACUGUUAUCACACAUUUUACAACUCUAGGGUCAGAGACCGUGAAGAAAAUCAUGAUGAAACACUGUCACCCUAAGUGAGCCCAACUGACCCCCCUGCAUGGACAAAAUGUUUAGCUGAUCAUCUGGCGCCACAAUACUUCCGGUAUUUUGCACCUGUGACACGAGCCGCUUAGUUAUUGCACACCCAAUAAGCGUUUGGAAAAUUGGUCAUGUGACAUUGUUAUUCUUAUGAUUCCUUUUAUCUGUGACAGGAUGAACUCAAACGUUCAGUCAUGAAGAUCAUCAAUGUAAUCAAGAAGUACAUUUACUUAGGUCUGUAUGAAAAUAGACUGAUUUUGUCAACAUAUUAGGUUUUUCCUAAUGUAGUCUACCCAAUAACUAAUGAUAAUAAUAAUUUGAUGGGUGCUUAUAUUUGUCCUAUUUCACAUCUGUACAAGUGUGUAUUGUAUUAAUACAAAUGUGUGAAUUGGAAAUGUGUUUUUUGUAUAUCCCAACUCUCCCUAAGACACCCUCGGAGAGUGGGGUCACGGCCAGGGUCUGCCAUUAUCAACGGUGACCCUGGAACAAUUAGGCUCAAGGGCACAUCGACAAAUCUAAUAUAAGGCUCUCCAGAGGGUAGUGAGGUCUGCACAACGCAUCACCGGGGGCAAACUACCUGCCCUCCAGGACACCUACACCUCCCGAUGUUACAGGGAGGCCAUAAAGAUCAUCAAGGACAACAACCACCCAAGCCACUGCCUGUUCACCCCGCUAUCAUCUAGAAGGCGAGGUCAGUACAGGGGCAUCAAAGCUGGGACCGAGAGACUGAAAAAUAGCUUCUAUCUCAAGGCCAUCAGACUGUUAAACAGCCACCACUAACAUUGAGUGGCUGCUGCCAACACACUGACUCAACUCCAGCCACUUUAAUAAUGGGAAUUGAUGGGAAAUUAUGUAAAAUAUAUCACUAGCCACUUUAAACAAUGCUACCUAAUAUAAUGUUUACAUACCCUACAUUAUUCAUCUCAUAUGUAUACGUUAUAUACUGUACCUC
ensembl:lncRNA